rnacentral:rRNA from 1 species
CCCUUAGACGUUCUGGGUCGCACGCGCGCUACACUGACGAAGGCAACGAGCUUUCCUUUACCGAAAGGUACGGGUAAUCUUUUGAAACUUCGUCGUGCUGGGGAUAGAUCCUUGCAAUUUUUGAUCUUAAACGAGGAAUGCCUAGUAAGCGCAAGUCAUCAACUUGCGUUGAUUACGUCCCUGCCCUUUGUACACACCGCCCGUCGCUACUACCGAUUGAAUGGUUUAGUGAGGCCUUCGGAUCCGCGACUCGUUUGUGGAGAAGUUGGACAAACUCAGUCAUUUAGAGGAAGUAAAAGUCGUAACA